UUAAGCCAUGCAUGUCUAAGUAUAAGCAAUUAUACAGCGAAACUGCGAAUGGCUCAUUAUAUAAGUUAUCGUUUAUUUGAUAGUGCCUUACUACUUGGAUAACCGUGGUAAUUCUAGAGCUAAUACAUGCUGAAAAUCCCGACUUCGGAAGGGAUGUGUUUAUUAGAUUAAAAACCAAUGCCCUCUGGGCUCCUUGGUGAUUCAUGAUAACUGUUCGAAUCGCAUGGCCUUGCGCCGGCGAUGGUUCAUUCAAAUUUCUUCCCUAUCAACUUUCGAUGUUUGGGUAUUGGCCAAACAUGGUCGCAACGGGUAACGGAGGGUUAGGGCUCGACCCCGGAGAAGGAGCCUGAGAAACGGCUACUACAUCCAAGGAAGGCAGCAGGCGCGCAAAUUACCCAAUCCCGAUCCGGGGAGGUAGUGACAAUAAAUACUGAUACAGGGCUCUUUUGGGUCUUGUAAUUGGAAUGAGUACAAUUUAAAUCCCUUAACGAGGAACAAUUGGAGGGCAAGUCUGGUGCCAGCAGCCGCGGUAAUUCCAGCUCCAAUAGCGUAUAUUAAAGUUGUUGUGGUUAAAAAGCUCGUAGUUGAACCUUGGGCCUGGCUGGCCGGUCCGCCUCACCGCGUGCACUGGUCCGGCCGGGCCUUUCCCUCUGCGGAACCCCAUGCCCUUCACUGGGCGUGGCGGGGAAGCAGGACUUUUACUUUGAAAAAAUUAGAGUGCUUCAGGCAGGCCUAUGCUCGAAUACAUUAGCAUGGAAUAAUGAAAUAGGACGCGCGGUUCUAUUUUGUUGGUUUCUGGGACCGCCGUAAUGGUUAAUAGGGACAGUCGGGGGCAUCAGUAUUCAAUCGU
rnacentral:rRNA from 1 species